GAAGUAGACUUUCUGAAGCUGAAGGUGAGCUUGUUUCGUGACCCAUAUGACAUAAACAAUGAUUCAUUUCUAAGUUUAUUACCUUCUCUAGUGUGUUUCCCCCCCUCAAUUAUUUUGCUGUUAUUGGAGUUCCAAAUUUUGACUCAAUACUUGGACGAUUCUCACCGAAGUGGAAAUUGAGGAGUUGCCACUUUAAUUUUG
rnacentral:misc_RNA from 1 species